rnacentral:rRNA from 1 species
GACAGGGGAUGCAAGCGUUAUCCGGAAUGAUUGGGCGUAAAGCGUCUGUAGGUGGCUUUUUAAGUCUGCCGUCAAAUCCCAGGGCUCAACCCUGGCAAGGCGGUGGAGACUACUAAGCUGGAGUACGGUAGGGGCAGAGGGAAUUUACGGUGGAGCGGUGAAAUGCGUAGAUAUCGGAAAGAACACAAAGGGCGAAGGUACUCUGCGGGGCCGAAACUGACAUUGAGAGACGAGAGCUAGGGGAGCAAAUGGG